GACGAACGCUGGCGGCGUGCCUAAUACAUGCAAGUCGAGCGCAGGAAGCCGACGGAACCCUUCGGGGGGAAGUCGACGGAAUGAGCGGCGGACGGGUGAGUAACACGUAAAGAACCUGCCCUCAGGUCUGGGAUAACCACGAGAAAUCGGGGCUAAUACCGGAUGGGUCAUCGGACCGCAUGGUCCGAGGAUGAAAGGCGCUCCGGCGUCGCCUGGGGAUGGCUUUGCGGUGCAUUAGCUAGUUGGUGGGGUAAUGGCCCACCAAGGCGACGAUGCAUAGCCGACCCGAGAGGGUGAUCGGCAACACUGGGACUGAGACACGGCCCAGACUCCUACGGGAGGCAGCAGUAGGGAAUCUUCCACAAUGGACGAAAGUCUGAUGGAGCAACGCCGCGUGAACGAUGAAGGCCUUCGGGUCGUAAAGUUCUGUUGUAAGGGAAGAACAAGUGCCGCAGGCAAUGGCGGCACCUUGACGGUACCUUGCGAGAAAGCCACGGCUAACUACGUGCCAGCAGCCGCAGUAA
rnacentral:rRNA from 1 species